rnacentral:rRNA from 1 species
UGCCAGCCGCCGCGGUAAUACGGAGGGUGCAAGCGUUAAUCGGAAUUACUGGGCGUAAAGCGCGCGUAGGCGGAGUAUUAAGUCUCAUGUGAAAUCCCAGGGCUUAACCCCGGAACUGCCCUCAAAACUGUCGAUCUAGAGACCGGGAGAGGUAAGCGGAAUUCCUAGUGUAGAGGUGAAAUUCGUAGAUAUUAGGAAGAACACCAGUGGCGAAGGCGGCUUACUGGACCGGUACUGACGCUGAGGUACGAAAGCGUGGGGAGCGAACAGGAUUAGAUA